AUUGAACGCUGGCGGCAGGCUUAACACAUGCAAGUCGAACGAGUGGCGGACGGGUGAGUAAUGACUGGGAAUCUGCCCUAUGGAGGGGGUUAACGACGGGCACAUGUCGCUAAUACCGCGUAACAUAGGAUCAGCCCCGGUGGGAUUGGGUAGUUGGUGGGGUAAUGGCCUACCAAGACCACGAUCGCUAUCUGGUCUGAGAGGAUGACCAGCCACCCUGGAACUGAGACACGGACCAGACUCCGACGGGAGGGAGCAGUGGGGAAUAUUGCGCAAUCGGGGCAACCUGACGCAGCCAUGCCGCGUGAAUGAAGAAGGCCUUCGGGUUGUAAAGUACUUUCGGUGACGAGGCGUUAAUCACAGAAGAAGCACCGGCUAACUCCGUGCCAGCAGCCGCGGUAAUAC
rnacentral:rRNA from 1 species